CCCUUAGAUGUUCUGGGCCGCACGCGUGCUACACUGAGUGGAUCAGCGGGUCAGGUUGCGCGAAAGCGUUUCCUAAUCUUUAAAUCCGCUCGUGAUGGGGAUUGACGGUUGCAAUUUUCUGUCACGAACGAGGAAUACCUUGUAAGCGCGGGUCAUCAUCCCGCGCUGAAUGCGUCCCUGCCCUUUGUACACACCGCCCGUCGCUCCUACCGAUGAGUCGUCCGGUGAAGUUCGUAGACCUCGUGAUCGCGGAUCACUGGGGGAAGCAAAAUGAACCUCGCGGUUUAGAGGAAGGAGAAGUCGUAACA
rnacentral:rRNA from 1 species